GGGAUGCCAAGUCAGCGGUCAAAUACAGGGGCUCAACCCCGUCCAGCCGUUGAAACUGGGUAGCUUGAGUCGGCGAGAAGUACGCGGAAUGCGCGGUGUAGCGGUGAAAUGCAUAGAUAUCGCGCAGAACUCCGAUUGCGAAGGCAGCGUACCGGCGCCGCACUGACGCUGAGGCACGAAAGCGUGGGUAUCGAACAG
rnacentral:rRNA from 1 species